GGGCCCGUCGUCUAGCCUGGUUAGGAUGCCGCUCUGACACAGCGGAGGUCCUGGGUUCAAAUCCCAGCGGGCCCA
rfam:Metallosphaera yellowstonensis MK1 genomic scaffold MetMK1scaffold_17, whole genome shotgun sequence.